rnacentral:piRNA from 1 species
UGACAAGUCCAAUGUGUCAAUGGUGGG